GCUGAGAUAAGGGUUAACAUGUGUUAUAUCCUGUAAACUACAAGAUACAUACUGGAUACAUAUGUGUACCGUAAAAUUUUCCAUAAAUUUAUUUGAUGCAUGGACCAAAAUUAUACUUUGUGACUUACAUGAUAUUGGUACGAUGACUUUAACUAAAUUAUCUACCAAUAUAUUCUGGAUUUAUUUAUGCUGAAAUUGAUAUAAAAAUUAAUAGUAGAGACUACCAAAUUAUUAAGGUCCAGUAUAUAUGGACCUGGCUUCUUUCAUUAAUAAAUAUUGCA